CCUACAUGGAUUCUUCCAUGGUUAAUACAACAACAGCUAGAGUAGAUUCUUCCACUGUUGGUGUAGUUUUUGUAGUUAGUUUUUUUUUUUUUACUCUGGGAAGGCCCGCCCAACUCCUUCUCACUGAUUUCAACCUUCAACCAACCGGAUUUUUUACUGCCCAUUUUCCUCGUCAAAAGUCUGUGCUUUCAUCGAGUUCUCCAUCCAGCUGGUCUACGUCUCUGAAGAAGUAGCACUGGUGUAUUUACUAUCAGAUCUGACAACGAUUCCAAGGGGACAACCUCUUCCAGCUCUUCCCAGUCCACCAGGCCACUGCUUGAUGACGUAACCAAGUCAGCACUUUAAUUGAGUCUGCACUGACCAAGAAACCUGGUGGAGGUCGUAUCAUCAAGGCGAAGAUAGCUCUGACUGGCUCCUCACAGCAACAGUUGUUGCUCUUGUUAAAGGAUGAUCUCAGUAUUUUGAAACCUGGGCCCAAUUUUCACUUAUUUUGGUGUUGAAAUGACUUGUAGCUUCAGAAAGUUUUAAAUCAGUGCAGUAGAUGGCUUCCAGGAGACAUUCUGUUUUUAACGGGAAGCUGAAAUCUCAAAGACAAUUCUCACUCUAAAAUCUUGUGAGACACAUUCAACACAAACAGGAGCAGGCACACUUUGGCAUCACAACUCUCUCAGGGCUUAUUUGGUAGAUUUUGGUUAGAGUUGAUUGGUAGAUUCCAAAUGAUGGCAUGAUAAUGACGUUUGUUAUGGGCUACAAUUCUCCCCUGCAAUGUACUUUAAACAAAUAUUUUCAUUAUUAAGAGAGAUUUUACAUGUACCAUGUCUUUUAACAACAAUUUCAGUAUUUAAAAUGAAUGUGCAGUUUAAUAGAGAGUGCUAAAGGAGCUGUCACACUGAAACACCCUUGAGGGUAAAUGUUUUUAUUUUUAAUAAAUUGUAUGGAUUACAUGGA